UCCUACGGGGCGCAGCAGUGAGGAAUAUUGGUCAAUGGGCGGGAGCCUGAACCAGCCAAGUCGCGUGAGGGAAGACGGUCCUAUGGAUUGUAAACCUCUUUAGGCGGGGAGCAAUGCCGGGCACGCGUGCCCGGAGGGAGAGUACCCGCAGAAUAAGCAUCGGCUAACUCCGUGCCAGCAGCCGCGGUAAUACGGAGGAUGCGAGCGUUAUCCGGAUUUAUUGGGUUUAAAGGGUGCGUAGGCGGAAGGUUAAGUCAGCGGUCAAAUGUCGGUGCUCAACACCGGCCUGCCGUUGAAACUGGUCU
rnacentral:rRNA from 1 species